GGGCAUGACCACAGCCUUUCUACCUUUGGCAGCCUGUCAAAGGGAAUCUUCUGGAGCCAGCCUCUUCCCUCCUUUCCCACCCGAGAGAGGAAACAUUCUUGCUGGGAAUGAGGCUGUCAAUCUACCUGAUUAAGAGUGAGAGAAGAGAGGGCCUAGCAUGGUAUAGAUGUUCAACCUGUGUUUGUUGACUGACUGAGUGAAUGGAGAAAGAGGGAAAUGCAAAAGAAAGAAGGAAAGGAGGAGGAUGGAUAUGAACUCUGAGACAAUUCUUUGACUGCCUGCAUCUGACAUGGACUUGUAUGGAAAGAAGCAGAUGGGUUUAAGCAAAGUGUUUGCUGCGCAUCAGGAUGUUUGGUGGACAUUCCAUUGUGGAUGGACCCUGGCUUCUUGCCCAACCGCUUAUGUUGGAAAUGCCCACCAGACUGGACCUCCCUGGAGACCAAACGCAGCCCAUCUUGGGAGCUGGCCAGUGCCACAUCCUCCCCCUCUUGCAGGGACCAGCUGAGUCAGUUGCUCCAUCUCGCACCUCUCAACACCUUCCUGUGUGGCACUGGACCACCUGUGGAAGCCCUGGCAUGCCUUGCUACCAUAGCUCGCAGAAGUUAUGGAGAAAAGGAGGCCCACACAGACUGAGAAAACACCAAGGCGAGGGCAUGGCUGGGAUCCCAGCGCAGGAUCCCCGUUCUUCUGCAGUCACAGUCUUGGCUGAACUGAGCCCUUUCCUCCCAGUGUUUGGCUUGGAUGCUAGACCAGGUCCUGGGAGAAACCUCACUCCUGGGAAGCUCCUGCGUGCUACCCCUGUCAGCUGGGAGACAGCUCUGCCGCAUUUUUUUCAGCUCCUCCAUUGCUCUGCUGAUUCACAGCCUCCAGCUUCCAGAACCUUUCCCCUGUCGGGACAGUAGUCCAACUCCGUUUUCACAUGCUUGUCCUAUUUGCUCGUUGGGUUCCAGGAGGCUCUCUCCGUCCCCUGGCUCUGUGUAUGGCCCAUCGUCCUUACCACACUGUCCUGCAAGUGCUCGUUAACUCACCUGGCUUCUCCACUGCCCUCUCUGUUCCCUCAAUGAAGGAACCCUGGGAUCUUGCUCGCCCCUAGUAUCUGGCACAUAGUAUACCCCCAGGAAGUAUUUAUUGUGAAAAUCAAUAAAUUACUUGAAUUGA